rnacentral:rRNA from 1 species
GAACUCAGGGAACUGAAACAUCUAAGUACCUGAAGGAAGAGAAAGAAAUUCGAUUCCGUAAGUAGCGGCGAGCGAACGCGGAUUAGCCCAAACCAAUAAAGUUUUCUUUAUUGGGGUUGCGGACAUAUCAUAACGAAGAGGUAUCGUAAUUGAAGAGGUUUGGAAAGACCUACCACAGAAGGUAAUAGUCCUGUAUGUUAAACGAGAAGACUUUAGAUAUGAUCCAGAGUACCACGGGACACGUGAAACCCUGUGGGAAGCAGGAGGGACCACCCUCCAAGGCUAAAUACUACCUAGUGACCGAUAGCGUAUAGUACCGUGAGGGAAAGGUGAAAAGAACCCCGGGAGGGGAGUGAAAUAGAACCUGAAACCCUGCACUUACAAGCUGUGGAAGCACAUUUCUUGUGUGACCGCGUACUUUUUGUAGAACGGGCCAACGAGUUACGUUAAGUAGCAAGGUUAAGCACUUAAGGUGUGGAGCCGUAGCGAAAGCGAGUUUUAACUGAGCGUUCAGUUACUUGACGUAGACCCGAAACCGGGCGACCUACCCAUGAACAAGAUGAAGGGAAAGUGAAAAUGCGUGGAGGUCCGAACCCACGAGCGUUGAAAAGCUCGGGGAUGACUUGUGGGUAGCGGUGAAAUUCCAAUCGAGCCCGGAGAUAGCUGGUUCUCCCCGAAAUAGCUGUAGGGCUAGCCUCAAGGUGAGAGAUACGGAGGUAGAGCACUGAAUGUCCUAGGGGGUAUUGCACCUACCGAAGACUAUCAAACUCCGAAUGCCGUCAUCUUAUACUGGGGAGUCAGACUGUGGGUGAUAAGAUUCAUAGUCGAAAGGGCAACAGCCCAGAUCGUCAGCUAAGGUCCCUAAAUGUAAGUUAAGUGGUAAAGGAUGUGGGAUUGCACAGACAACCAGGAUGUUGGCUUAGAAGCAGCCACUCAUUCAAAGAGUGCGUAAUAGCUCACUGGUCGAGUGAUCCUGCGCCGAAGAUUUCCGGGGCUAAAACUUACUACCGAAGCUACGGCAUCAGUAAUGAUGGGUAGGGGAGCUUCCCAUACGGGUUGAAGCAUGACCGUAAGGACAUGUGGACAGUAUGGGAGUGAGAAUGUUGGCAUGAGUAGCGAGAUGUGGGUGAGAAUCCCACAGGCCGUAAACCCAAGGU